GCCGUACCAUGCUAAAUAUACCGAUAUACCGGUUCUCGUUAGAUCACCGAAGUCAAGCAUCAUUGGGCGCGGUCAGUACUUGGGUGGGUGACCACCUGGGAACACCGCGUGCCGUU